rnacentral:lncRNA from 1 species
AUGAAUAGGCCCCAGAGAAGGUGUAACCAAACCCUUCCAGAUCUGUGGACCACAGUUUUAGGAGUAAGCAGCUUGGCUUUCAGAAGACAUGGCCAUUUAUGGCUGUCACCGCCUAACAGGGCCACCUGCACAGCCACCCUGAUUGCCCACACACAUUUGAGUCUGUUCAAAGACACAGAAGGAAUUUUCAUACAAAAGAAUCUUCUGGCCUUAGCAGUAGUUGAGUCAGACUGUGAUGGAAGAUCGACACAUUUAUAUUAUUGUCACACAGAGGUUUGAUUUUUCUACUGGCACAAAGUAUUCUGAAAAAGAAUGGAAAAUUACCCCUGUUUACUUCAAAGAGCAAGGCUGACUUCCUCGAAAUCUGUAGCCCUUCGGUGUUGCUCAGGGCAACCGAUUUAAUUCAAAGACAGCUUGUCUGUGAUUGACAGCUUAAGAAAAGUCAGGUUUAUUUGUGAGAGAUUUGCGAUCAGAUUAUAGUAGGGAUGUAGAAAGAUAUCAAGCAGUUAGGAAAACAAGAGCAGAUUUUAGAUCUGUUUAGCAAGUUGAGAAAAGUCUAUAACAAAAAACCUGCACUCUUGUGAGAAUUUGCAGGCAAGAUAUUGGAUAACUUCUAAGAAAAUAUUCACCAGAGGCAUAGAAAUAACUAAACAAAUCUGGCGAAUGCAUUUUCACACAAGGAGCACAUGUCACUAAAUUCAGUCCAAAACUGAAUCUAACCUAGUCUGAGAUCCAAAGGCUUCUCAGACUAGAUUAGAAAUAAGUCAGACAUUCAGUUCAGUUCAGUUCAGUCACUCAGUCGUGUCCGACUCUUUGCGACCCCAUGAAUCACAGCACACCAGGCCUCCCUGUCCAUCACCAACUCCUGGAGUUCACUCAGACUCACGUCCAUCGAGUCGGUGAUGCCAUCCAGCCAUCUCAUCCUCUGUCAUCCCCUUUUCCUCCUGCCCCCAAUCCCUCCCAGCAUCAGAGUCUUUUCCAAUGAGUCAACUCUUCACAUGAGGUGGCCAAAGUACUGGAGUUUGAGCUUUAGCAUCAUUCCUUCCAAAGAACACCCAGGGCUGAUCUCCAUAGGUGUUCAGAAUACAUAUCUGUUAGUGCAACAGACAGUUGAGGUGUGCGUGCUCAAUACUGUCUGACUCUUUGCAUUACCAAGGACUGUUCUGCCAGGCUCCUCUGUCCAUGGAGUUUUCCAGGCAAAAAUACUGGAGUAGGUUGCCAUUUCCUCCUCGAGGGGAUCUUCCAAACCUAGGCCUCGAACCCAGGUCUCCUGUAUUGG